CUACAGGAGGGCUGUUGACUAUCACAAUGAAAGACUACAGGAAAGUGAGAUACGGCCGGUUUCCCUGCCACCCACCUACAGCUCCGGAGCCCCGGUUUAUAACCCACACGCUACAUGGGUGAACUGCAACAAGUCAAUAACGUAGGAGGAAGGGAAUCUUUUAGCCUCGAUCCCAGGCCGCACUGAAGAUGAGGCCUUGUAAACACCAAUAGGACACUAGAUCUAGCUAGCUAGGGCAUCUUGUGCAUCAUAUACUCUCUGAGCUGACAAUAUAACUUGGGUAUCAUCAAGUACAGUGCUAAGUGGAGGGAGUUGAAUAUACAGCAAUGAAAGGAACAGAGAAGAGGCCUACAGAUUCAAGGUGCUCUCUUCGGAAAGUAUCGUGUGUGUGGCCGACUGGUGUCAGUUCUCAGUGAGCACCCCCUCAAGUCUGGCCCCUCAAGUCUGGGGGUUAGGUUGUGAGGUUCAUGGCUUGCCUGCAUGCUGUGUUUGACUGGAGAGGAUCGAAGGAGCAGAAAGUGAACUAAAGAGAAGUCGCAGUUAACAAGAUAGCCAGCUGCUGGGAUGCCACGAGGGAACGAGAGAUCAGUUCUCUGAAGUCCAUAGUCUUGAACAUUUGAAACAAUCAACUAUUAGUCUUGUAACAGUUGUGUAUCACAUGCACCCUCUCUUGCUUUAAAUAAUUCA